GAUGAAGAACGCAGCGAAAUGCGAUAAGUAGUGUGAAUUGCAGAAUUCAGUGAAUCAUCGAAUCUUUGAACGCACAUUGCGCCCCUCGGUAUUACGUGGGGCAUGCCUGUUCGAGCGUCAUUUACCCCUCAAGCACUGCUUGGUGUUGGGCGUCUGUCCCGCUUCGCGCGCGGACUCGCCCCAAAGGUAUUGGCAGCGGUCGUGCCAGCUUCUCGCGCAGCACAUUGCGCUUCUCGAGGCGGUCGAUCGGCGUCCACGAAGCUCACCUCCACCGUUUGACCUCGGAUCAGGUAGGGAUACCCGCUGAACUUAAGCAUAUCAAUAAGCGGAGGA
rnacentral:misc_RNA from 1 species